CUACGGGAGGCAGCAGUGGGGAAUAUUGGACAAUGGGGGAAACCCUGAUCCAGCAAUGCCGCGUGUGUGAAGAAGGCCUGCGGGUUGUAAAGCACUUUCGGUUGGGAGGACUGCUUCUAGCACUAAUAUUGUUGGAAGUUGACGUUACCUUCAGAAGAAGCACCGGCUAACUCCGUGCCAGCAGCCGCGGUAAUACGGAGGGUGCAAGCGUUAAUCGGAAGUACUGGGCGUAAAGCGCGCGUAGGCGGCUAGACCAGUCGGGUGUGAAAGCCCCGGGCUUAACCUGGGAACUGCAUCCGAUACUGUCUAGCUUGAGUACAGGAGAGGAGAGUGGAAUUCCACAUGUAGCGGUGAAAUGCGUAGAUAUGUGGAGGAACACCAAUGGCGAAGGCAGCUCUCUGGCCUGAUACUGACGCUGAGGUGCGAAAGCGUGGGGAGCAAACGGGAUUAGAUACCCGUGUAGUC
rnacentral:rRNA from 1 species